AACGAACGCUGGCGGCAGGCUUAACACAUGCAAGUCGAGCGCCCCGCAAGGGGAGCGGCAGACGGGUGAGUAACGCGUGGGAAUCUACCAUCUCUACGGAAUAACGCAUGGAAACGUGUGCUAAUACCGUAUACGUCCUUCGGGAGAAAGAUUUAUCGGAGAUGGAUGAGCCCGCGUUGGAUUAGCUAGUUGGUGGGGUAAAGGCCUACCAAGGCGACGAUCCAUAGCUGGUCUGAGAGGAUGAUCAGCCACACUGGGACUGAGACACGGCCCAGACUCCUACGGGAGGCAGCAGUGGGGAAUAUUGACAAUGGGCGCAAGCCUGAUCCAGCCAUGCCGCGUGAGUGAUGAAGGCCCUAGGGUUGUAAAGCUCUUUCACCGGUGAAGAUAAUGACGGUAACCGGAGAAGAAGCCCCGGCUAACUUCGUGCCAGCAGCCGCAGUAACAC
rnacentral:rRNA from 1 species